ensembl:lncRNA
AAGAACCCUUACGAAUUAGCUUUCCCACGAGGCUAUUGAGAUGAGAGAGGUGGUAACCAGGGCCCUUUUCUGGCCUGCUUCAGCCCUUCUGCAUCCCAGGACGUUCUCAUGUCUCCACAGGGUCAAUACUGCCAAGUAUCUCUUGAACUUGCUAACAAGAAGAGACCAG